AGUAGCUGGAGAAUGAGAGGGCUGUUUGAGGAGGGACCAAGCAGACCUGAGCAAGAGGGACAAAGGAACUGGCUAUUGGAGAACCCUCUGGCCUCUCGUGAGACUUGUAAGGGCUCAUCUGGCUCAACUGAGUGCUUUGCAGGUUGUCCAGAAGGUCUUAGACACCGUUCAGCACAAUCCACCAUGCUGCUGAGGCCACAUGUGGGUCCAGAAAGUUUUGACUUGCAUUUCAUCACCUGGUGAGUCUGUGGGCCCGCAGCGCCUGCUGAGCCAUCGUGCAGCUCCUGGUUUUGCUGGUGAAGGUUUAACAUCCCCUUUUCGUCAAUGCAACGGAGCUGAGGAAGGAAGGAUUCAUGAGGGAAAUCCACAAUCUGGACCUCACAGCAUUGUUGGGAGAGAGGAACACUGUUUCCCUUGGUCAAGGUCACACAGAUAACCAAGCAGGGCCAAAGCCAGAACUGUGGAAUCGCAUCCUGGAUCCCAGGUUUUCAUUCUUUCCACUUCGGGGUCUCGCCUCGUCUUCUAUUUACCAUCAAAUAAAAGCGGAUUUGCCUUUGUCCCUCCCGAAGUUCACCAUGUUGCACCUCCAGAUGGUCUGAGGCGCAGUUCUGCUCGGGGACUCGUGUUUGUACGAUGACAGCAUCUAUAUUUUUUCUGGAUGAAUUAAUAAUCGACUUGCCAUUGUAUUGAGGAAAAACCAGACAUCACCUCAUGGUCUCAGAAAGGGAGCGUCAUUUUCCCCGUUCCUUCUGGCAAAUGUGCUACUUAGAUUUAGUGGUAGCAGGAGAGGUCUACGUGAGUAUUUGCCCAGCUGAAGGGUGUCACUGGGCUACAGCCAGGAAAUAGCCCACUCCUACCCCAUCCUGUCUCGUGGCUUUAGAGAUUGGGGUUCUGACUCAUGACUAAUCUCAGUUUGAGCCCUUUUUCCGGGAGUCGUCUGGGCCUUGGACACUAGGUGGCGCCACAGGAACGUCCUGGCUGUUUGAGGCUCGGCGGCCGCUGGCUAGGACGCCUGGCCCUGGGAAAUCCUUCAGGCUUUCCACAAGCUCCCUCAACCAGAUCCCUGCCAUCCAUGCCAUGGCUCCAGCCUUAGGACAUCCCCGGUGCUGCACGGCAGGCAGGGUGAGCGGGAUCACGCCCUGUUGCUGUGGCCCAGCAUUUGAAGUACCGAAGGGCUGAGCUCUUUUAUCUGGGGUCUCUCCCUGCCCCAUUAUUAAUUACUCAUUUGUCUUGAGUGGCAGCAGCAGGAGGGCUGGAGUGUUGAGCAGGAGGCUGUGGAGUCCUGCAGACCCCCACCCCCAGCCCCCUGCCUGGGACUGUGCAGUGGUGAGGGGUAACAGCGGCCCAGUUGUCACCAGCUUCGGGCACUGUGUCCCACCCCUCCUGAGGCCCAGUGCGCCCCUCGAGCUUCUCAACUUUGUGCUCACAUCGGCCCUUUUCCCUGGGAAUCCCAGAUUCCCUGUUACAUCUCAAAUCACACGGUGGUUUUCCCAGUGGCUGUCCCCUAUCCUUCCUGUCUGUGUCGCCACAUCCUUUGCCCCAUUUAGGCAGCUCUUUGGCCUCUUGGGAUCUCGGACUCGAGUCCCUGCCCUCUACUGCAGCCCACCGUCAUUCUUCUACCCUCCACCACUGGAAACCCGGCCUCUGCCACCCUGAGCCUAUAGCCACCCUCGUUUCUUUGCCAGGAACCCUCUGUGCAGAGUGCUAAUGUAAGACACUGGAGUGGGGAUGUCCCCAACCCACAGCACGCUGCCUUGCCUUUGCACUCCGGAGAACCUGACUUAAAUUCUGGGGUGCCUGGUCCCUUUCCUGCCUCCCAAAAGCACACAGAGGUAUUACGACAUCUGUGCCUAGGGCAGGAAUGGGACCAACAUGCGCUUUGACCAGGAGAGCAAAAGCAUAUGGGAAGACCAUGAAGGGUUGGGUUGGCAGGAAAGAAAGAAAAGGCAAGGUUCCAAAACCGGGGCUUCCGUGUGUCUGCCUUCUGGCCUCUGUGCCUUACCCUCUGCCACAGCAGAGUCAAAAGAUGGCGAGUACGGUGUUCUGUGUGCUCAGUUUCCUACGGCUGCCUAUCUCAUGGGAAGUAGAUCCUUGCUAAAGUACCCUAGGGGUUAAUGAUAAGAACUCAGUAAACAGUCCCAGUCACUGCCAAGCCGAAGCCCCCACCCUGCCUUUUACCACAUUGACCUUGCAGAAAUCAAAUGUCACGUUUUAUGUACCUUUCCUCUCCUGGCCGGAAGGGAGGACAUACCAGGGCUCUCAUAUGUGGCCAUGCACAGGAGAUAUAACAUGCAACACUGAGCACAUUCGUUUCCUUAUUCCUGCAAUGGAGCUUUAACCAGAUCCUUGCCUUCUGGAAUGUUCUGGAAUGUUAGAUGCUAUUGUUAGAUACUAUUGGGAUGACUGCCUGUGGCAGUAAGUCUCCAUCAUCAUCUUCUAUGGAAACCACUAUAACUGGGAGACCUGGUAAACCAUCCUUGGCUAAACCCCAGAUAUUCCUUUACCUAUGAAUGUCUAUACUGCUGAAACAGAAGUAAGGGUCUUCCCAAACCUGAGCUUUCCUCUGCAGUAUGAUCCACACACCUGCUAUUAGGGGGUGCCUGUUCUUGGUUUAAGAAUUUGGAUAUUAGAACUGGAAUGUAGCUCAGUGGUACCCGCUGGGCCUAGCAGGUUCAGGGUCUGGGCUUGAUCCUCAGCACUGCCAAAAGGGUUGUCACCUUCAAAUGCUUCAGGGAGCUCAGGAGGUCUCACUAGCUAGUCCGUGGAUGAAGCCAAAGGACUUGAUUGGAUUUCUGCUGGGAUCUUUUCCAAGACAGGCAAACCCUCCUUCAACUUGGGUCUGUGAGCACCACUGUGUCUGUGAGAGCUGUCUGCCUUAGGUAGCCGUCUCACAGCUCUUCCCUCUGUCCCCACCCUCUGGUCCCUGGGCCAUUUAUUAAUGCUAUGAAUGAGACUGAGGUGGCAAGCCACCACGAAGUGUGAAAGCCGCAGAUUACUGAUGCUUUGCUUCAAGAUGACUCCUUUGCUUGUUAGCCAACUUUAAACAGCAAUAUUAAAACUGCCUUGAUUAUUUUGAGAAGGUGGCCUGAUUAGAAGCUAUAUACUGCUUCGACAUAUAUGUUUAUACGUAGCACUUUAGAUAAAAUACAUAUUUAUAUGUAUGCGCGUGUGUGUGUGUGUGUGUGUGUGUGUGUGUGUGUGUGUGUGUGUGUGUGUAGCAAUUUAAUUACCUGGGCUAAAUUCUUAGAAGAAAUACACAGGAGUGAGCCCCUUCUCUGUUGCUACAUUCAGAGCAGAGCCCACCACAGAAGGGGGUGGUAUUGGUAGCCUUUGGAGGACUCCACAAUGGAAGUCCCGAUUGCACAGAGCCCUGCGCCAGUGUCAAGAGACAGUGUCUUUGGCACAAGCUGAUUCUGACCUCUGCUGUGCUCUGAGGAAGUUCCUUUUCUAUUGAGCUGGGCGGGCUGGGGAACAAGGGGGCAAGUCCUUACCACAGCUCUGAGAGACAUUGACUUCAUGCUUUUGUUUCUGGGGCUGGCUGUCUAGCCUUCCUAAUGAGCAAAUAUGUUCUCUUUAAGGAAACAAACAAACAAAGCAGAAACACCAAUUCAUCUGGAUUUUCUUCAUUUGUUUUAAAUACAAACAAACAAAAGGAGGGUGGUGAUUUCUUCACCAACUAUCUCCAAUGCAAGUUGCCUCGUCGCUCGGGGUGCUUGGAUGGUGCUUGUCACCAUAGGACCCACAGGGCCAGUUCCAACUGUUACUCAGUAAGGCUUCUUUCUUUCCAAAAUUCCCAGUGUUCCUUUAAGGCCCAUUUAGCUGUGGGUUUUGUUUAUUCUCCCGGCAAUCAGCAUUUAAAAUAAGACAAACAAGCGUUUUUUCCUGGGCUGUGAAUCCCUGACGGCCAGCCUCCACCUGCACACCUGAAGCCUUCGUGUCCAAUUGAAUUUCCCAGUAACCUAGAGCCCCUUCAGAGACCUGGCCCCUCUGCCUAUCAGGCUGGGAAUAGAGAACUUGAGCAGCGUAAAUGCAAUUUUAAGAAUUGCUAAUGACGCUAGAAAUCUGCAAUGCAAUUAGCGUCAUUGGAUUUGGCUCUCUUCCGAAGGCACAAACCUCCUUGUCAUACUGCAGUGGCAGAAGAGGCAAGUGGGCUUCGUGUGCCCAGCCCAACCCUGGGUGUGUUGGCAGCCCUUUCGCACCAAGAUUGAAGCAGUUGCUUUGGCUUCCUCUCCAUCUCUUGUGUGGCUGCUGACUUCUUUGUCUCUUUUCUGGGUCGUGCGGUGGGGGGGGCAGUUAGAUGCAGGGUUGGAUUGUAACCUUCCAUAUCCAAUCUUCCAGUAGAGUCACUCUGUUAUCUAGGAAAUUGGGCCCCACUCUGUGAGCUCAUUUUGCCUCCUAGUAUUUCAGUUCAACCUUGAUUUCUCCUGUUCUGGACCAGUAAUUUUGGCAGGGUUCAUUGUCAUCUCUGCAGUGGUGGGGACCUCCCACCACCAUUACCCACCAUAGGAGCUUUCUCUCUCUCUCUCUCCUCUUUCUAUCUUGCUCUCUCUUGCUCUCUGACUGUCUCUGCUUCUCAUCCCCACCUUGUUUCCUUGUCUUCUUCAUGUUCCACAGGUGAGGAGAAUAGAAAAUGGUGUGUGGAGAGGCAGAAGUACAGGCGUUGGGGCGGAGUAUGAAUGUGAACUAUUGGACUAAAAACAAACCCUUACUUUUUCAUAGGAAAAUUAUUUUUGCUUCCUGGAAAAAUAACACAGGCUAAGCAUGCAAAUCCUGUUAGCUGCCUAAUAGGCUGCCAAAUGCCACAGAUGAUCUUAGUGGGUCUGUUCAGUUCAACAAAGGUUUCUACUCUGGGGAUCUUCUUUCAAAUACAGAGGCCCAAAUCAGAAGCUCACAGAGGGGAGCUGUCCCUCCAAGAUUCCAGAUGUGUCUACGAGACAACACGUUAUGGGGCAAAUUGAUUUCACCCUUGGGAAACUGGAGAUUUUUCAAAGUUAUGUCUGUGAAGCUGGCUAAUGCAAUUCCCCAUUAGUACAUUAAAGUGUGCCCUUAUUAAUUCAAACAUAAAGGCAACAAAAUAAGCUGUUAAAUUUAAAAUAUAAUACAUAUAUAAUGAGGAGAAUGUGUGAAAGCCUUAUUCAAAUGAAAAUACAGGAGUGUUUGAACUACUGAGGUAUCUUUUGUAUUGAAUUAUGAGCAUAUGUAAUAGAUUUAAUUAUUAAUUUCCCCAUUGUUCUAUGCAUACAGACAGGGUUCAAGGCACAGUCAUUCUCGGGCUUUCAUAGAUCUAAUUUGUAUAAUUAUUGCCUGAAUAAAGAAUUGCUCCAA